rnacentral:rRNA from 1 species
CAAUAUAAGUGAUGGCGACCGGCGCACGGGUGAGUAACACGUAUCCAACCUGCCGAUAACUCGGGGAUAGCCUUUCGAAAGAAAGAUUAAUACCCGAUGGUAUAAUAAAACCGCAUGGUUUAAUUAUUAAAGAAUUUCGGUUAUCGAUGGGGAUGCGUUCCAUUAGGCAGUUGGUGAGGUAACGGCUCACCAAACCUUCGAUGGAUAGGGGUUCUGAGAGGAAGGUCCCCCACAUUGGUACUGAGACACGGACCAA